UGCGAACUUGAAGAGUGAAAAUACAGCCUUGAAGAAAUGCAAAAACACUUCGUGUUAACAAACAGAAGAAAUAGAAAAAACAAGAAGAAGAGAUUUUGCCUUUCUAUACAUCUUUAGAAAGAACUUCUCGGCCGGGAACGGUGGCUCAUGCCUGUAAUCCCAGCACUUUGGGAGACCGAGGCGGGUGGAUCACGAGGUCAGGAGAUUGAGACCAUCCUGGCUAACAUGGUGAAACCCCAUCUCUAUUAAAAAUACAAUUAGCCGGGCGUGGUGGCGGGUGCCUGUAGUCCCAGCUACUCGGGAGGCUGAGGCAGGAGAAUGGUGUGAACUCCAGAGGCAGAGCUUGCAGUGAGCUGAGAUCGCGCCACUGCACUCCAGCCUGGGCAACAGAGCGAGAGUCUGUUUCAAAAAAAAAAAAAAACCAAACAAACAAAAAUAACUUUUCUACCCCAAGAUUGGAUAAAUAUAUGUAAAUAAAAAGGACAGUUCAGUGAAAAAUUUGAAAUGAAAGUGUUUGAAAUCCUGAAAUGUAUUGUAAUUUUACUCAGCUCCUUUAGCAGUUACUUAUAGUUUAUUUGCAAAGUUAUUUCAAAUAAAUGGGAACAUCAACCAGAAAUAAGGUCUUUAAAAUGAUAAAAUAAAGGCAAGAUUGAAUUUUA